AGUGAACGCUGGCGGUAGGCCUAACACAUGCAAGUCGAACGGCAGCACAGUAAGAGCUUGCUCUUACGGGUGGCGAGUGGCGGACGGGUGAGGAGUACAUCGGAAUCUACUUUUUCGUGGGGGAUAACGUAGGGAAACUUACGCUAAUACCGCAUACGACCUACGGGUGAAAGCAGGGGAUCUUCGGACCUUGCGCGAUUGAAUGAGCCGAUGUCGGAUUAGCUAGUUGGCGGGGUAAAGGCCCACCAAGGCGACGAUCCGUAGCUGGUCUGAGAGGAUGAUCAGCCACACUGGAACUGAGACACGGUCCAGACUCCUACGGGAGGCAGCAGUGGGGAAUAUUGGACAAUGGGCGCAAGCCUGAUCCAGCCAUACCGCGUGGGUGAAGAAGGCCUUCGGGUUGUAAAGCCCUUUUGUUGGGAAAGAAAAGCAGCAGGUUAAUACCCCGCUGUUCUGACGGUACCCAAAGAUUAAGCACCGGCUAACUUCGUG
rnacentral:rRNA from 1 species